UACAGAGGUCUCAAGCGUUGUUCGGAUUCAUUGGGCGUAAAGGGUGUGUAGGUGGCGCCGUAAGUCGGGUGUGAAAUUUCGGAGCUUAACUCCGAAACUGCAUUCGAUACUGCGGUGCUUGAGGACUGGAGAGGAGACUGGAAUUCAUGGUGUAGCAGUGAAAUGCGUAGAGAUCAUGAGGAAGACCAGUGGCGAAGGCGGCCACCUGGACGGUAACUGACGCUGAGACGCGAAAGCGUGGGGAGCAAACAGG
rnacentral:rRNA from 1 species